GACGAACGCUGGCGGCGUGCCUAAUACAUGCAAGUCGAGCGAACCAAUAAGAAGCUUGCUUUUUGUUGGUUAGCGGCGGACGGGUGAGUAACACGUGGGUAACCUGCCUGUAAGACCGGGAUAACUCCGGGAAACCGGUGCUAAUACCGGAUAGAUUAUCUUUCCGCAUGGAGAGAUAAGGAAAGAUGGCUAUUGCCAUCACUUACAGAUGGGCCCGCGGCGCAUUAGCUAGUUGGUGAGGUAACGGCUCACCAAGGCGACGAUGCGUAGCCGACCUGAGAGGGUGAUCGGCCACACUGGGACUGAGACACGGCCCAGACUCCUACGGGAGGCAGCAGUAGGGAAUCUUCCGCAAUGGACGAAAGUCUGACGGAGCAACGCCGCGUGAGCGAAGAAGGUCUUCGGAUCGUAAAGCUCUGUUGUUAGGGAAGAACAAGUAUCGGAGGAAAUGCCGGUACCUUGACGGUACCUGGCGAGAAAGCCACGGCUAACUACGUG
rnacentral:rRNA from 1 species